AAAUGGCGAGACUACCAUGCAGUCGAGCGGAUGACGGGAGCUUGCUCCUUGAUUCAGCGGCGGACGGGUGAGUAAUGCCUAGGAAUCUGCCUGGUAGUGGGGGACAACGUUUCGAAAGGAACGCUAAUACCGCAUACGUCCUACGGGAGAAAGCAGGGGACCUUCGGGCCUUGCGCUAUCAGAUGAGCCUAGGUCGGAUUAGCUAGUUGGUGGGGUAAUGGCUCACCAAGGCGACCAUCCGUAACUGGUCUGAGAGGAUGAUCAGUCACACUGGAACUGAGACACGGUCCAGACUCCUACGGGAGGCAGCCAGUG
rnacentral:rRNA from 1 species